UACAGAGGUCUCAAGCGUUGUUCGGAUUCAUUGGGCGUAAAGGGUGCGUAGGCGGCGCGGUAAGUCGGGUGUGAAAUUUCGGAGCUUAACUCCGAAACUGCAUUCGAUACUGCCGUGCUUGAGGACUGGAGAGGAGACUGGAAUUUACGGUGUAGCGGUGAAAUGCGUAGAUAUCGUAAGGAAGACCAGUGGCGAAGGCGGGUCUCUGGACAGUUCCUGACGCUGAGGCACGAAGGCCAGGGGGAGCAAACGGGG
rnacentral:rRNA from 1 species